rnacentral:rRNA from 1 species
AUUGAACGCUGGCGGCAGGCCUAACACAUGCAAGUCGAGCGGAGCUGCGGACGGGUGAGUAAUGCAUAGGAAUCUGCCUGGUCGUUGGGGAUAGGGUCCGGUAACGGGCGCUAAUACCGCACACUACUAGCUGACACUAGGUCGCAUUAGCUAGUUGGGGGGGGAAGGGCGUACCAAGGCGACGAUCCGUAACUGAUCUGAGAGGAUGAUCAGUCACACUGGAACUGAGACACGGUCCAGACUCCUACGGGAGGCAGCAGUGGGGAAUAUUCGGCAAUGGGCGAAAGCCUGAUCCAGCCAUGCCGCGUGUGUGAAGAAGGUCUUCGGAUUGUAAAGCACUUUAAGUUGGGAGGCGUUACCUACAGAAUAAGCACCGGCUAACUUCGUGCCAGCAGCCGCGGUAAUUC